rnacentral:lncRNA from 1 species
UGAACCUCUGAUUAAUCAGCUGAGGCAAGAGUUGGGUCAGCUGUGGGAGCACAGGUGAGAGUAAUUUAGCUGUGCUCCCAGAAGGGGUAGAGCUUGACUCCAUUCCCUCUCAUUUAAGGGCUGACCACCACUAAGGCAGCAUCUCUUGGAGAUUGCUCCUUGGUGGUGAUUACCUCAGCGGUUUCCAGCAGACCGAAGGCUUCCAUACAGGUGAGUUUUUCCUGUAAAUAACCUUUUGGGUAUUUACAACUAUCAUCUUUUCAUUACAUCUUUUUAUUAUUGUCACCAUACACAGGGUAAAAAUUGAGUAGUCCUAUCAAGUGCCCAUUGCACCAAAGUGUGAGUAUUUUAGCCUGAAAAGUGCUAAGCAUAUAUUUGUGUUUUGAUAUUUGCUUUUGAUUGCUUUUACAGGGAAUGUGAAGUACAAUAAAUAAAUGAGGAAAAAACAACCUGUGGCACAAGCCAGACAAUACAACAUAUCUUGAUGUGGUGCAAUGCAGGUAAUCAGGAGAAAGUAGUACUGAAGUUUUCACUUGUUUCUUUUUCGGACACUCAGAGACAUUCUCCCUGUAUAUGACUCACUGAAAGCUGACUUAACUAGAAGAAGCGAAUACCUCUGGUCCUCUGAGAACUGAGUGGACACCAGGAAGCAGCCUGACCAUCUCCUCAUCCUUGAACAGCACAUUGCCUCACCAAACCCUUCAUUAGAAGAAAUCUCUCUUGCAUUGGCAUUUUGACAAAAAUCAUAUAUUUUGUUUGAGGUUUGAAACUUCUCUAAUUCCAUGUUCCAUAAAUUCCAAAG